UGCUUACUUGGUGUUUCUGCUGUUAGGCCUUGCCCGAAAAAUAAAUAAAAUAGAAAAUUAUAAACAAUAGAAAGUGUGAAAGGAAUUUACUUAAAUUCCAAAAUCUUUGAAUUUACAAAGACAGUUAGUUGGGGAUCAGUCAUCCAAGCAUUGUACCUAUGUUUUGCGGACCUAAGACGAACUUCGGAAUUUGAACUCCUAAAUUGUAGCUAGCAAUCAAUUUUUCCAUUUAUAAAAUUUUUACAAAACUAAAAUUUGUUAACUUAACAUUAACAAUAAAAUAACAAAUAUGAAAAAUGUUAAAAAUAUAUAUAUCACAAUCAAAUAAUCUUGGAAAAAUGUUUUAACCGAUCACUUCUAUACAACUCGCUCCUAGAUUUUAGAGGCAAAAAUAUGAAUCAAUUUUGGAUAAUCGAGUUGUUCAAUCAUUUUUUUUUCAAUGGAUAAUAUGAUCAAUCCAUUCAAUCUUUGCUGUGAAAUAAUUGAUCAGAGAUAAGUCUUGAUCAAUUUAAACUUGAAGAAUUUUAUUUGUUUUUUGCUGGUGCAAUUGUAAUUGGCAAUCUUGUAAGUAAUAUAAGCAUUUGUAAAACAACCAUUCACUUUUUUCAAAUAAUGUAGCACAUCAAUUAAUUAAUUUUUUUUUCCUUUUUUGUUUAUCUAGGUAAAAUAGUACUUCAUGACUAUCAACUCCAAACAUAAAGUUGCUUACAAUCUCCUCAAAAUACCAAAACAUUUUUAGCAAGUCUUUUCACAAUAACAAUUAUCCUCGAUACCACUUGCUUUUAAUGUUCUUUGUCUUUGUUAAUGGCCAACUGUGUGCUUUCAUCAAUUGUAUAUUUUGUUUGAAUCCUAUUUUUCAGUUCUAUACACCAUUCAUUCAACCUAUAUGCUCUUUAGCCAUUUCAUGUUUUGUAAAACAUCAAUACACAUGAUGCUAAUCUUUGUAUCCAUCACUAUCCAAUUGACCAAUACUUUUCAUUGUUUUUCUAUCUUAAACAAAUUGCAUAAAAAUAAAAGAUAAGAUAGAUUGGUAGUCCAUUUAGGGGGGAAAAACAAUGUUAGCAAUUAAAAAUAGUAAAUGAAACAAAGGGCCAGGCAAAUUCAUAAGAAUGAUAACAUAAAUACAUACGUAAUAAUUAAUAAACCAAUGGGUAAUACUAUAUUGAUGAAUCCCUCAUGAGUCAAUUCAAAAAUCAAAGGUAGUCCACUAUCCACUAUCAAAAAAUCAAAAGCUAUUGUAAACUAAUCACUAAUCCCUCAUAAACUAAAGGUAAAUUCAUAAAUCAAUAAGACAAUAACAUAAUAAACUAAUAAUCAAUUACAUAUAGAAAUUACAAUUAAUUCAUUUAUACACAUAUACAGUCGAUCAGAGAUAGAGAGAUAUUCCACAUAUUCAUAAUAAAUCGGAAUUAUAUACAAUUGAAGAAAGGGUAUUAGUACGUGCCUGCUCACUUCACUUGCAUAGGCAAAAAGUUAAAUAGAAAUCGUCUGUGGAUUGAAGAUGGAUGAAAAAUUGAUGAUGAGCAGAAAUAAUGGCAGUCAGAG
rnacentral:lncRNA from 1 species